AGAUUGAAAUCAGGCUCAGACGCCAUUACAGGGUCUACGAUCUCUGCAGGAAAACACAUAUUUGGAGGAUUUUAAGAAGAAAAGUGAAGAGACUGUACAUUGACGUUCCCACUCCCACAUCCCAACGUUCUCAGCCGGACAUCCCAUGAUCCCCAAACUGUACGUGAUGCCAUGGAAACAGGACAUGAAGAACCAGAGGCUGCUGAUGAAGAACGCAGCUCUGGCUGGGAUCCCUGUGCUUCCUCUGGAGGAGUCUUUGUGUUUUUGUGGUCGGGAGCGUCUCUGCCACAGCCAGCGCUCCACCCAGACCUCCUCCUCCUCCUCCUGCUCCUCCUCCUGGGCUCCUCUCAGCCAGACAGGACUGACAGCUCCAU